AGCAGCCAGAGUCAUCCCUGCACCGUGUUGCUCCGCCGUGUUUUGUCCCUCUCCGUGAUCCUUACUCAUUCAUGGGCAGUGAAGCGUGUCAGUGCAUUGCGGUGCGGUGUUAUAGAACUGUCGUGACCCAGCGGGGUGCUUGGGAGGGGGCUGAAUAAGGCCGCUGCUGGAGGUGAGGUGUUGCGGUGGGUUGGAUGGUGCGGAGACGUUGCCUGCACCCUGCUCCUCACCACUCACCAUCCGCCAUGCCUUCCCCAGUCCCUCCUUUCCGAGCCCUCUCCCUGACUGCAUUCUUGCCUCAUAUCCUCGCUGCAGCCUGGUAAGUGUAGUGAGGCAGGCCAGCCACUCCCCUCACCCAGCCUGCCUGCCUGCCCGGUACCAGCCUCGUCGCAGCGCCUGACUACUGCAGAUUCCGGAGGCGCCCCAUGACUUCACCGGCCAGCAAGGAUCUCCGGAGUGAGUGUGUCUCCCCAAAAGAAAUGCCGUCUCCCCAAGUAAAGAUUAUCUUCCCAAGGUGUAUCUUUCUGAAGAAAGGGUGUCACCCUAAAGGAAAAAGUGUCACCCUAAAGAAAAGAGUGUCACCUUAAAGAAAAGAGUGUCACCCCAAAGAAAAGAGUGUCACCCCAAAGAAAAGAGUGUCACCCCAAAGAAAAGAGUGUCACCCCAAAGAAAAGAGUGUCACCCCAAAGAAAAGUGUCACCCCAAAGAAAAGAGUGUCACCCCAAAGAAAAGAGUGUCACCCGUAAGAAAAAAGUGUCACCCUAAAGAAAAGAGUGUCACCCCAAAGAAAAGAGUGUCACCCCAAAGAAAAGAGUGUCACCUGUAAGAAAAAAGUGUCACCCCAAAGAAAAGAGUGUCACCCCAAAGAAAAGUGUCUAGCCAAAGAAAAGGUGUCUGAAGAAAGUUUGUCUCUCUAUAGAAAGAUUGUCUCCCCAAAGUUUCUCUCUACAGAAAGAUUGUCUCCCCAAAGUUUUUCUCUACAGAAAGAUUGUCUCCCCAAAGUUUUUCUCUACAGAAAGAUUGUUUCCCCAAAGUUUGUCUCUCUACAGAAAGAUUGUCUCCCCAAAGUUUGUCUCUCCAGAGAAAGGUGUUUCGCUCCAAAGUGUGUCUCUGAAAAAGGAUUGUCUCCCCAAAGUAAGAGCGUCUCUGUAAAGAAAAGUCAAUCUCUCCUAGAAAAGCACUGCCUCCCCAAAGAAAUAUUUCUCCCUCACCAAAAAAAAAAAAUAAAUAAAUAAAUAAAUAAAUAAAAAUAAAAAAUAAAAUAAAAUAAAAUAUAUUAAAAUAAAUAGAAAAAAAAGUAAAUAAAUUACAACUGCCAUAAUUCUAAAUAUUUUGUUUUUAACCAGACAGCCUUGUCUGGGGGUGGCCGGGAGGAAACUGACAGCAAGGACUGGCUCGCCAUGUAAGAAUCAAGGUACACGCUGACCACCUUAAUUAUUCGCGGGGUGUAAGUCCCUGGCGGGCGGUGGUCAGCUGGCCGAAGAGCGACUCACUCAUCAUUUACUCGCCUUCACACGGGACCUUUCCGACGGACCAACCCUCAGGCGGCUGCAUCUCACGCUCAUUCGUGUC